rnacentral:lncRNA from 1 species
GAUGGAUGGAGCGCUUGUAGUCUUUGGCGAGACAGGAAACAAUGGGCGGCCAUUGGGUGGCGGGAGAAAGCGGGACUCGGGGGGAGUCGGCCCCGGUGUAGAUAUACCCGAGUAUAAAGCGUGAGUCGGUCAGUUUGAUAAGCGUCUUCGAUUGGUGUUGUUACAAGUGAUUUUGGUUUAUUCCGCUUACGAUGGCGUUCAAGUUGGCAUGCCUGGUUGCCAUCACAACACUGGUGGCGACGUGUUGGGCCUCUGAGGGAGUGCAGUCGCAGGACUACGAGGCGUACCAGCCGUACUACCAAGCUUACCAGGACCAGAGCCAAGGCUACCAGGACUAUGACGCCAGAGAGUCCCAGUCGGCUAAAAGAAGUGUUGAGCCUGCUCCGGCCACCGCCUACCAUGCAGAUGCUGCUUACGCACCAUACGCGGCAGCCACCUACCCAGUUGCCAACGUAGUCGGCGUACAGCACACAGUUGAAGUCUCGAAACCGGUCCCAGUGCCCGUCUACAAGACGGUGGCCGUGCCGGUUCCCCAACCCGUCCCCGUCCAUGUGCCUCAUCCGUUCCCGUUCAUGUUCCUCACCCCGUUGCCGUCCACGUUCCCCAACCGGUUCCAGUGCAUGUUCCCGUUGAAGUACCAGUCGUCAACAUGUGAGUCUUGUCAACCCGAUCGGGGUUGA